UGCUGGAUGGUCUAACGGAAGGACGCGUGGCUCUGAACCACGAAAGUGCAGGUUCGAAUCCUGCUCCAGCAGCC
rnacentral:tRNA from 1 species